rnacentral:rRNA from 1 species
AUUGAACGCUGGCGGCAGGCCUAACACAUGCAAGUCGAACGGUAACAGGAAGCAGCUUGCUGCUUCGCUGACGAGUGGCGACGGGUGAGUAAUGUCUGGGAAGCUGCCUGAUGGAGGGGAUAACUACUGGAAACGGUAGCUAAUACCGCAUAAUGUCGCAAGCCAAAGGGGGACCUUGGGCCUCUUGCCAUCGGAUGUGCCCAGAUGGGAUUAGCUUG